AUGGUGAAAGAAGCAACUUACUAGGAUGUUUUGGGGGUCAAACCCAAUGCUACUCAGGAAGAAUUGAAAAAGGCUUAUAGGAAACUGGCCUUGAAGUACCAUCCUGAUAAGAAUCCAAAUGAAGGAGAGAAGUUUAAACAGAUUUCUUAAGGAAGUUCUCUUUGAUGCAAAGAAAAGGGAAUUAUAUGACAAAGGAGGAGAACAGGCAAUUAAAGAGAGUGGAGCAGGUGGCGGUUUUGGCUCCCCCAUGGAUGUCUUUCAUAUGUUUUUUGGAGGAGGAGGAAGGAUGCAGAGAGAAAGGAGAGUUAAAAAUGUUGUACAUCAGCUCUCAGUAACGCUAGAAGACUUAUAUAAUGGUGCAACGAGAAAACUGGAUCUCCAAAAGAAUGUGAUUUGUGAAAAAUUUGAAGGUAGAGGAGGUAAGAAAGGAGCAGUACAGUGCUGUCCCAAUUGCUGAGGUACUGGAAUGCAAAUAAGAAUUAAUCAGAUAGGACCUGGAAUGGUUCAGCAAAUUCAGUCUGUGUGCAUGGAGUGCCAGGGCCAUGGGGAGCGGAUCAGUCCUAAAGAUAGAUGUAAAAGCUGCAAAGGAAGGAAGAUAGUUCGAGAGAAGAUUCUAGAAGUUCAUAUUGACAAAGGCAUGAAAGAUGGCCAGAAGAUAACCUUCCAUGGUGAAGGAGACCAAGAACCAGGACUGGAGCCAGGCGAUAUUAUCAUUGUGUUAGAUCAGAAGGACCAUGCUGUUUUUACCCGACGAGGAGAAGACCUUUUCAUGUGCAUGGACAUACAGCUGGUUGAAGCAUUGUGUGGCUUCCAGAAGCCAGUAUCUACUCUUGACAACCGAACCAUAGUCAUCACCUAUCAUCCAGGUCAGAUUGUCAAGCAUGGAGAUAUCAAGUGUGUACUAAAUGAAGGCAUGCCAAUUUAUCGUAGACCAUAUGAAAAGAGUCGCCUAAUCAUCAAAUUUAAGGUAAACUUUCCUGAGAAUGGCUUUCUUUCUCCUGAAAAACUGUCUUUGCUGGAAAAACUCCUAUCUGAGAGGAAGGAAGUGGAAGAGACUGAUGAGAUGGAUCAAGUAGAACUAGUGGACUUUGAUCCAAAUCAGGAAAGAUGGCGCCACUACGAUGGAGAAGCACAUGAGGAUGAUGAACGUCAUCCCAGAGGUGGUGUUCAGUGUCAGACCUCUUAA